ACUCACGAAAGUGAGCUUCCGCAAGGACACUCGUAGAGGUGCUGCAUGGCUGUCGUCAGCUCGUGUCGUGAGAUGUUGGGUUAAGUCCCGCAACGAGCGCAACCCUUGUUUGCUGUUGCCAUCAGGUUAUGCUGGGCACUCUGCAAAGACUGCCGGUGAUAAACCGGAGGAAGGUGGGGAUGACGUCAAGUCAGCAUGGCCUUUAUGUCUGGGGCCACACACGUGCUACAAUGGCCGACACAAACCGUCGCGAUACCGUAAGGUGGAGCUAAUCGGAGAAAGUCGGUCUCAGUUCGGAUCGUAGGCUGCAACUCGCCUGCGUGAAGUUGGAAUCGCUAGUAAUCGCGGAUCAGCACGCCGCGGUGAAUACGUUCCCGGGCCUUGUACACACCGCCCGUCACAUCACGAAAGCCGGUUGUACUAGAAGUCGCCAUACCAACCCGCAAGGGAGGGAGGCGCCUAAGGUAUGGUCGGUGAUUGGGGUGAAGUCGUAACAAGGUAGGCGUAGUGCU
rnacentral:rRNA from 1 species